UCUCCGUAAAUCUGUCACCCGCCGGACACGGCUGGAAAUGCCUGGGUCUCACCCUCCUGUGCAAAACUCCCAGCUCAGUGUUAUCAGCAAACUCAGAAAGCCAACAUUUACAAAACCAGCAAGUAUCAGCAGAGUCAGCUAUUGGAAGUACAUGCAGAGGGAAGAAGUAAAAGAGAUCUUGCCAAUCUGUAUAAAGAACCAUAGAAACAGUUAUGGAUGGAAAGGACUUCUAGCAUCAUCUGGUCCAGAGGCAGAUGGUUUAAUUUAG
rnacentral:lncRNA from 1 species